ensembl:lncRNA SNHG28 small nucleolar RNA host gene 28
GUGGCCCUGGCGCCCUGCACCGCCGCCGCCGCCUGCGAAGCGGGCCCCUCCCCGGUCUACGUCAAGGUCAAGAGCGCGGAGCCGGCUGACUGCGCCGAGGGGCCGGUGCAGUGCAAGAACGGCCUCUUGGUCUCCAGCCCACACUGUGAAGAGCCUUGUGCCCACAGCUGUGCACAUCCUGGGCUUCCUCCACACCUUGUCCAUAAACUGCCCCUCAGCUACCUUCAGACCCAGGAUACAGGAGAACAGAUGCAAAAACUAUUGCUCAAGGAAAAUAAAGUGAAAACGAGGAAAAGCAAAAGAAGAUCUGGAGAGGGCUCUCACCUGACCACAAGCAUCCUGGAGCAAUGAGUUUCAGGCAGGAAGACUCAUCCUGAGCUGAGCUGCUUUUCUUGAAGUUGUGCAAGAACGUCCUGUUGGCUGGGGCAAAUUCAGUAUUUCUUUUCCUGGCCACUGUGCUGGAGCGUGAGGAAAGACUCUCCACCCUCACUCCCAGAUCCUGCAGGAGGCGUGAGAGCGGAUGGAGAUGCAAUGCCUUGGCCCUCAGGAAGCAUCAGAUCUCAAACUGCAGGGUCUGGGGCUGAAGCUGAUGCUGGCAUGGGUGACUCAGAGUUCCUCUAUUAGUUCAAAUAUGUAAUAUCUUUUAGAGCCUAGGACUCAGGCUGGAGGCAAUUCCUUGGUGCCAGUUGGUUAAUACUUUAUGAAUAGUGGUGGGGGAGGGAAUGCCUUGGACUAUUAAUGUCCCCAUGGAUCUGGAUCCUGGAGAACUUCCAGUGUCCUGGAUGGAAUGUUCUGCUUGGCUCAUCUUGCCCAGAGAAGAGCCAGGAUAUGAGAAGAUGGGAGAGGGAAGGGGGAGGUGUGAAACGUGCUGGUGCUUCCUGUCCUCGUGGUGUGAUGGCUGCCCAGGCUGCUCCUUCGAGGCAGGACAGGAUUCCCAUGGGAGAUAUGAGGACCAUGGUGAUUUCCAGGCACCAGUUAUGUCCCAGAGCAUCGUGUGCCUGUGCAGUGGGGUUACUGAUAGUCCAGGCAUCAGUUCAUAUUGUCCUUUAUGGCAGAUCCUGCACAAGGGGGUUCUCUGUCUCUGGACCCACUCUGUCAGCAUGGACAUCCUUUUUCUUUUUCCCUGGUAAGGACAUCAGAAAGAAAGUUACCCCUCCAGUGUUUGGAGUCUUGGAAUCCUUGGCCUGCCUGCAGGCCUCUGAAUCCUCAGUGUGUUAGCCCAAGGUCACCUUAGGUAAAGGAACAUUUCUCCUGGUCUUCCAACACCCUGGAAAGGGAGGCUCUUCAAGAAUAGGAAAUUCUUCCUAGUAUCUAACCUUGGCCUGCAACUAUGCCAUACAUUUAAUUGUAGAAGGUAUGGAAAGUUAGGACUGUGGUGGACCCAGUUAAAUCACUGGACAGAAGCCAUGAGGCAGAGCCAGAACCAGCUUCUGGACUCCCUGCAUGGAGCUUUCUACUAUCCCAGGUUGUUGGGUCCCUUCUCAGUGGCCAAAGAUGCUAUUUUAUGAGCCUUGAGGACAUGACACUAAGUGAAAAAAGCCUGGCCAAAGGGCCACAUAGUGUAUAGUUCUAUUUAUAUGAAAUGUCCAGGAAAGACAAAAGCAUAGAGGCAGAAAGCAGACUAGUGCUGUGGGAGGAAUGGGGGAUUUGGGAGGUGAUGGCUAAGGGGUUAUGGGGUUUUGGGGGAGGUAAUAGAAAUGUUUUAAAAUUGGUUGUGAAGGUGGAUGCCCAACUCUGCGAAUACACUAAAAGGCAUCGAAUUGUAUACUUUAAAUAGGUGAAUU